rnacentral:ncRNA from 1 species
UCCCCGGCUAGGCAUGGAUUAGCUACCCUUGCCGAAAAGGCGGAACCCUUGCCGCCCGCCGGGGAGCGAAGGCUGCGCCU